UAAACGUAAUUUCAUGCAGUGUCAGUUUAAAACAAUAUAUCAUGUCUGUGUUCCAGAGGAAGAAAGUGAUCACCGCAGCUAUGAGCAGGAUAUGGUUGCUGUUUUCCGUCGAUGAGGUGGUGAAAUGCAAGUCUAGGUGAUGCACAUGGAUUGCAUUUCAUGUAUGAGCACAGCAAAGCAGCAUCAAGGAUGAUGAGGUUGCAUGGCAUUGACCCCUUCCUUGCGGAGAAGCAGCACACUGCAAACAGAGCAGAAUCCGGUGAAGGGCAGAUGUCAGAGUGGCCACUGUCAGCCUGGACUCAGCCUGGCUUCACCAACAAGGGAGUGGGGUAGGGGUACUGAGACAGAGAGAGCCCACGGGCCUGUAAAUGUCACCCCAUCCAUGCAGAGACAGCACCACCACGGACCCUGGCUGUAGUUCUAUAAACACCUCUCCAUUCAGAGUGACCACCAGGGAAUUCACCAUUUCACCAUUCAGUAAUGUAAUGCCCCACAAGCUGUCUCUCAGCACAGUGCCAAGGAAACAUCCAGGUCUAAUGGCAGGAUACCCAGCAGCGAGUGCCAAGACUUCUUUCUCCCACUCUGUCUCCGAUUCCGAAGUAAGGAAGGACAAAGUGUCUUUCAUGGACAGAAAGGGUGGAAUGGGAGAGUGCCAAACCACACGAGACCGAGCCAAGCGCAGGAUCAAGCAGGAGGAAUGAAUGAUGGAAAGAUAAGGCACAAACUAAAGAGAACAGACCAAACAGGAAAAGCAAGCAAGAAGCAAAUGGGGGUGGGUGAGGUGGGGGUUGAGGAGGCGUCUCCUGGCGCAGUGCUGAGUGCGUGGUGGAUACUCACGUUGCAUACUUCUGCUUUUGUUCGGGGAAAAAAGGAAAAGAGGUGAUAUUUCCACAUGAUCAUAAAAAAGCUGUCGCUUCCUUCGCAGUUUACAGUUUGAACUUUUUAGUCAUUCUGCAAUGUUGUCUGCUUUGAGCACAUUGAGUAACAGGAGCCAGUCAGCAUGAGAGCUCUGUUAUCCUCCAUGAUUGAGUCUCAAUCUGAAUCUGAAGCAUUCUGCUCUGUUUUUUUUUUCUUCUUCUUUUUUUGCCUGUGUACAAAAGAAAACACAGGCAAUGUUCUGCCCUUUCUCUGCCAUUGCUGAGUUUUCUUUUAUGUAUUCAAAUUCCGUUCGGCAGCAUAAAAUCCUCCCAAGAGGCAUCAUUGUCCUCACGGCCGUCCCAUGGGCUUCCCAUCACAUAGCUGCAUCUCUUCAGCCGCAUAAUACAACACCCAGAAGAUCCGUUGCUGCACGGGCUUCCUUUUGAACAGUCGCACGCAAUUCGAGGAAGAUUAAUUAAAACGCUUUUAAAGCCACUGCUGAUUGAGUCGAUUCCCAAAGACUUCGCUAAAAAAGCCGCUCCGCUCGCAGUCAGGCCCGAGACAAAUGGGCCGAACAGCCUUUCACCGAUUUCACCCUCCGAAUAAUAAAUCUGUUAUGUCAUUACGUGCCGUGAUAAAG
rnacentral:lncRNA from 1 species